UAAGUAUCUGUGUAUAAAGGAAUCGAAAUUUUACCACAAGCUAGUGGUUUUCGUAGGAAAACAUUGACAGGAUCCAGCUUUACGAUGUCCGCAGUAAAUUCUGUAUUCAUCCUAAUCUUCGCAAUCACGAUCACGAUGAUAAAUAUCUCAAGCAUGCACAGCUGGAACGGCAAUAUUCGGACGUGUGAGAGUGUCGGACAAAAAUUGAAAUAUCUAUAUUGCAACUCCUCCGAAUAAACAGCUUCGCUGUAAGUUUGUUUAUGAAUAGACAAGGUCACAGAAGUCUGCUGUCUUUUCUAAACCAGCGCUAGCGAUUUGCGUGUUCUACGGAAUAACUUUUCUGCGCACAUGCACUCAGAUAUGGAUAACAAAGCCGAAGCAUGGACAUCUUUUCCCUCUGAUUUCUUUGAAACGGAAGCAAGUUCCAUUUUUAGCUUAAUGCAGCUGG